AGAUGUUCUGAGAUCUGGAUGAGAUUCAUAUUGUCUGACAUAGCUCAGUUUGUGAUGAAGCCAAUGAACAUAUUAGGAAAUAUUUUUCAACGAUGAAACCAGUUGGUGCUCUCUCUCUCUCUCUUUCUCCCCCCUAGAAAUGACCUACUUCUCUUCUUUAAUCAGUCUAAUAACUGUUUUCCCAUGGCUGUUGAACAGAUGUCAAGGUUUAUUUUUUUGCUGAUAUGUGCAAUCUUAUGGAUAUGUUUAUUUGGCAUAAUCUUCUAUCCUCAUUUGAAGCACCUUGGAGUUAUUUGGUGAUUGUGCUGCUAUGUUGGAUGAUCACACGCUGGUAUUAUUUUCUACUAGGUCUAUGAGUGGAAAGCAGUUGAUCUCGAACUGUUUGGUCCCUUGUUCAUUUUACUUACUUGCCUUUCCUGCCUUUUUGGCCAACUUAGGUGUUUGAAGCCCCUUUUGCGUAUGAAUCUUGCCUGGUGCGACUAGAAACUGCAUUCUCAAAUAUUCAACAAACUGUUGAAGUUAUCUGUUACAAGAUUCACCCAUUUUGUAGUAUUCAUGCCCUUAAGAUCUAAAAUAGCUCGAUCAUCUCCUUGUGAUGUCUUCUAUGUUGUUUGUUAUUACUUGUUAUUGUAUUAAAGCAAAUUUGUCAUUCUCAGCCAAGAUUGUCAACAAGUGUGCAUUAGCAAGCUGAGAUUUCAGUUUCACUUCCUCUUAGAAACUGUGAUAUCUUUCUGUUAUUUUCAG
rnacentral:lncRNA from 1 species